GCAAGCUUGCUUUUCGCUGACGAGUGGCGCACGGGUGCGUAAGCGCGUAUGCAAUCUACCUUGUACAGGGGGAUAGCCUUUAGAAAUGAAGAUUAAUACCCCAUAGUAUACUUUUAAGGCAUCUUUUAAGUAUUAAAAUUUCGGUGGUACAAGAUGAGCAUGCGUCCUAUUAGCUAGUAGGUAUGGUAACGGCAUACCUAGGCGACGAUAGGUAGGGGCCCUGAGAGGGGGAUCCCCCACACUGGUACUGAGACACGGACCAGACUCCUACGGGAGGCAGCAGUGAGGAAUAUUGGACAAUGGGCGGAAGCCUGAUCCAGCCAUGCCGCGUGCAGGAAGACUGCCCUAUGGGUUGUAAACUGCUUUUGUACGGGAAGAAACCCAUCUACGUGUAGAUGGCUGACGGUACCGUAAGAAUAAGCAUCGGCUAACUCCGUGCCAGCAGCCGCGGUAAUACGGAGGAUGCAAGCGUUAUCCGGAAUCAUUGGGUUUAAAGGGUCCGUAGGUGGAUUAGUAAGUCAGAGGUGAAAGCCUGCAGCUCAACUGUAGAACUGCCUUUGAUACUGCUAGUCUUGAGUCGUUGUGAAGUGGUUAGAAUAUGUAGUGUAGCGGUGAAAUGCAUAGAUAUUACAUAGAAUACCGAUUGCGAAGGCAGAUCACUAACAACGUACUGACACUGAUGGACGAAAGCGUGGGGAGCGAACAGGAUUAGAUACCCUGGUAGUCCACGCCGUAAACGAUGGUCACUAGCUGUUCGGACUUCGGUCUGAGUGGCUAAGCGAAAGUGAUAAGUGACCCACCUGGGGAGUACGUUCGCAAGAAUGAAACUCAAAGGAAUUGA
rnacentral:rRNA from 1 species